ACCAUCCUUUCCUUGGGGCUAGGGCUACUGCCCAGUGAGCACAUAGUGAGGGCAGAGCUGCUGACACUGACACAAAAUUCCUGCAUCAGCUACAGCUUUGCUUUACCUUGGCACGGUUUCUGGAAAA
rnacentral:ncRNA from 1 species